rnacentral:sRNA from 1 species
GUGAGGGAUGGACGCCUCUCCCCCGGAGCAGCACUUUGGAGCCAGCUUCGGCCCUGGGGAUGAGCCACAGGGGACCCACAGCCCAUGUGUGUGAGCAUGUAACCCGGGAGCCAGCUGGGCCCCUCGUGGGGUGGGCAGAAGGACGGGCUGGCCCAGGACCCUCUUCUUUGAGACAUCCUGGACUCCAUUUCAGAUGAAAGUGCUUUGAGAAACCACAGAGUUUUCUGUUUAAUGGAAGAAGGAAACCCAUCCUCUCUCCAGAGUGGCGGUGGCCGGCUGGAUAGGAUGUUUGAGACGGAGGCAGAUGAGAAGAGGGAGAUGCCCUUGGAGGAAGGGAAGGGGCCUGGUGCCGAGGAUUCCCCACCCAGCAAGGAGCCCUCUCCUGGCCAGGAGCUUCCUCCAGGACAAGACCUUCCACCCAACAAGGAUUCCCCUUCUGGGCAGGAACCCGCUCCCGGCCAAGAACCACUGUCCAGCAAAGACUCAGCUACCUCUGAAGGAUCCCCUCCAGGCCCAGACGCUCCGCCCAGCAAGGAUGCGCCACCAUGCCAGGAACCCCCUCCAGCCCAAGACCUCUCACCCUGCCAGGACCUGCCUGCUGGUCAAGAACCCCUGCCUCACCAGGACCCUCUACUCACCAAAGACCUCCCUGCCAUCCAGGAAUCCCCCACCCAGGACCCUCCACCCUGUCAAGAUCUGCCUCCUAGCCAGGUCUCUCUGCCGGCCAAGGCCCUUACUGAGGACACCAUGAGCUCCGGGGACCCACUAGCAGCUACCGGGGACCCACCUGCGGCCUCCAGGCCAGCCUUUGUGAUCCCCGAGGUCCGGCUGGAUAGCACCUACAGCCAGAAGGCAGGGGCAGAGCAGGGCUGCUCGGGAGAUGAGGAGGAUGCAGAAGAGGCCGAGGAGGUGGAGGAGGGGGAGGAAGGGGAGGAGGACGAGGAUGAGGACACCAGCGAUGACAACUACGGAGAGCGCAGUGAGGCCAAGCGCAGCAGCAUGAUCGAGACGGGCCAGGGGGCUGAGGGUGGCCUCUCACUGCGUGUGCAGAACUCGCUGCGGCGCCGGACACACAGCGAGGGCAGCCUGCUGCAGGAGCCCCGAGGGCCCUGCUUCGCCUCCGACACCACCUUGCACUGCUCAGACGGUGAGGGUGCCGCCUCCACCUGGGGCAUGCCUUCGCCCAGCACCCUCAAGAAAGAGCUGGGCCGCAAUGGUGGCUCCAUGCACCACCUUUCCCUCUUCUUCACAGGACACAGGAAGAUGAGCGGGGCUGACACUGUUGGGGAUGAUGACGAAGCCUCCCGGAAGAGAAAGAGCAAAAACCUGUACGUUGGGAAGAUCCCUGGCUUCUGCGCUCCUCUUCCUCCCUUGCCCCAGGGCUUGUCUCUCCUCUAGGGGUCAAGCUGGGGAGAAGAGGUUGUGCCUGGUCCCGCACACAACCCCAGACAGACACCAAGGAAAAACUGGAUCUUGGAACUUUGCAGUGACCCCAAAGUGGGGUCACCUGGGUCCUAAGCAUUCUCUCCAAGUGAUGCAAAGUGCUGAUUCAGUACCGGGAAGCCACAGUGAACCAGAGGCAACCAGCCCAGUUGCCCUGGCUUUAGCCCAGCUUCUGAGCCAAGCAGGGACCAAGUGACUUCAACAACUCCUUUGCUCCCUCUGGGCCCACGAGUGACCUGAGAAAGGGUGGAACUGACAGUCAUGGGGCUCUUCUUUCUCUUCC